rnacentral:tRNA from 1 species
GGCGCUAUGGCACAGCUGGUUAAUGCCCUGGCCUGAAGUGCCGGCAUCCCAUAUGGGCACUGGUUCUAGUCCUGGUUGUGCCU